GGCGACGUAGCUCAGAGGUAGAGCAGGGGUCUCAUAAGCCCCGUGUCGUGGGUUCGAAUCCCACCGUCGCCA
rnacentral:tRNA from 1 species